rnacentral:rRNA from 1 species
GACGAACGCUGGCGGCGUGCUUAACACAUGCAAGUCGAGCGAUGAAACACCUUCGGGUGCGGAUUAGCGGCGAACGGGUGAGGAACACGUGAGGAAUCUGCCUUCCACUCUGGGAUAACUCCGGGAAACCGGGGCUAAUACCGGAUACUUUCAACUGGCGGCAUCGCCGGUUGAAGAAAGUUUUUCGGUGGAAGAUGACCUCGCGGCCUAUCAGCUUGUUGGUGAGGUAAAGGCUCACCAAGGCGACGACGGGUAGCCGGCCUGAGAGGGCGGGCGGCCACACUGGGACUGAGACACGGCCCAGGCUCCUACGGGAGGCAGCAGUGGGGAAGAUUGGGCAAUGGAGGAAACUCUGACCCAGCGACGCCGCGUGAGGGAUGAAGGCCUUCGGGUUGUAAACCUCUUUCAGCAGCGAAUAAGCGAAAGUGAAGGUACCUGCAGAAGAAGCACCGGCUAACUAUGUGCCAGCCGCCGCCGUAA